rnacentral:piRNA from 1 species
UACCACUUAACCAAAACAACCUUCCUC